CUUCAAGUGGGGAAAAGUGAGGUGUUUGUGUUAGCGCAGUUAAAUCGUCUCUCUAGAAGUGAGCCGUGCUUUGCGAAUCACAGUUUACUGGUGAAAUAAUACGACCGGCGUGAAACGUCCUUAUCUAUACUUCGUGUGCUUUGUUUUAGUUUGUCGGGAGUAAUCAUUCGCUCACUUUUUAGCCGUCGGAGAAACAAUCAAUAUUUUGUAUGCAAAUCAGGGGAGAGUGAAACAGCAGAGGAAAUAUCGUCGCUUGACUGACAUAAGGGCGUAAUUUCACAUUGAGAUGAGCCCGGAAAAACGUUGAAUUGUAUGGAGGACAGGGCUCAUUGCAGAGUGUAGUUACGCCCUUUUGUCAGGCAGACGACGAUAUGUUGCUUAGUUUCCCGAGCGAGGUCAGGAGUACCCAGUAUCUUUGCCACCUCAGGCGCAAGAGUAAAAGUGAUUCAUUUUCUCAUCAUGCAGGAUACAGGGUGUUUCAUGAAAUGAGAUUUCAAAGACUGCUUUAAUCAGUGAAAUACUUAAAAACCGAUUUACUCAGGGAUUUUUGCCAAAUCUAUUCCAAGCUGUUUCGUCCCGUCAUGAAAACUUUCCACGGGUCUCUGAGUGCGCGUUGUUGCAGACAUGUAUUACCACUCUCCGGGACCAUUAUAAAAUGGAACAAAUUUUUCCAGGACGAGAAAUGAAUCUCGAUCUCAACGCCUGUGUUUACGCUACAUCGUAUCUUCCCUGGCAAACUUGGCUGAGGAGGAAAAUACUCAGACGUGCAGGUGAGGCGAUUUAUCGAGAAAUUUCGCACAGUUGGGCGCCGACGGAGCUUUACUUCACUCCCCACAGGUGCGAUUAUUACUGUUGGCUCGAAAUCCAGAAACGAAUCGCUACUUUAAUCCCAUUAUUUGCGAAAGAAGAUUUAUUGUUAAUUCUGAGAAGAUUAUUGUGUACUUUAGAGGAAAAGUGCGAGUACGAAAAUUACGCCAGAAUACAAACAUUUUUGGAGAUAAAAAAACUAGAACUUAAUGCGGAAGCACUAUGCUCCGAUGACCUAAUGAUCGAAUAUUAUCAGUGUUGCCACGAUAUAGCAUAAAUGGAUCUAAUAAAAAGAAUGCGUGAAUUCGCAAAAGGAAACAUACUUUCCAGAGAAAAGACACUGAUAAAAAUUUGGUGUAUAGUCCUAGAAAAUUUACAUAAGAUAGAGGAGGACGGAGGACACUUUGUGACGUGUCCUAAAUCUGAGGAAGGAAAGAAAUUAUGGCUAGGCGUAUCAGAUAAAUGUCAAUGCAAUGUACGGUUUUAUAUUUACAGUCAUUUUCAAGAUAUAGAAAGGAAAUAUGCCGCACAGCAGCAACGCAGAAAAGGCAAGGUCCGUGUUGGAGGAGAUGAUAAAAUUAAAGCAAGAAAGACCCAUCGUCUGGAAUAUGAACGUCGAGCAGCUUCGGGAUUGGAGGACAGAGCUUGAGAUUUACGAGAUGACCGGAGACGAAAACGGUCAUUUUGUAUCGUGCCCAUGGAGUGACGGAAAAGAAAGUUCGGAGCCUUGCCUUUGCUGGAGAGUGCUGAGGAUUAAAUUAGAAUUAAAGAAAAUGUUUUGUGUAAAAUAAAUUUAUUUAAACCAAGAAAAUUGGUGUUCUUCUUACAAAUAUUAAAUAAUAAAACGUAUGAAAACCUAGAAAAAGUCCUAGAAAAAAAUGAUUAGUUAGCAAAAUAUACAAGAUAGUUUCUUAUUCCUAAAUCCAUACCGGUAAUUCUGAUAGUAUCAUUGCACAUCUCUGACACCCUCCACGCUUUAUUCCUUGCACGUCUGUAUACCGUAUUUCUAAGAUGGUAGUACGGAGUCCAUUCUGCUUCUCCCCUGUCCUGCAGGACAUGAAGGAGCGGGAAGGUGGGAGAACCCCCGGGACGCGAGGUUCUCGGUGAAUACCUUGUUUUCCCCGCCUUCUUCAAAUCCCGCAGCCUUGCCAGCGCCAUUCUCUUCCUCAAUACGCAAAACCUCCUCCUAGCUGCAACAUUCAGCAUCUCAAAAACGUACGACUUGUGAUGAAACCCGACCUUCGCGGCGUCGAACGUCGUUUUUAACUCCUUGAACCACGCGCUCCUCUUCAUUUCCUUUCUAUUAACGUACCCGAUAUCAUCGAUCUGGUCUCCACGUAGCAAAGUCACUCUACCCGUCAAGUGGUAUCGCCAAAGAUGGCACUCCACGUAGUCUCUGACGUUCCUUAUGCAGGCUUUUCCGAAAUGCAUAGACAUCUCUCGCCACGUGUAUAAGAAAAGGAUGAAAUCCUCUUCUUUCAUGCACUUUUUUUUGAUGAGCCUAACAAGGGGACGCAUAUGGGGAUUACAGAGGGGAUCACAAAAGUGAUCAUCCCAGAAAAAGGACGUGAUGUACCCGUGACCGUAAAAGAUAUCGCUAACUAGUAGACGGAAAAAAACGACUCUGAUCACGGGAUCCACUUUAAAAUUGUUAAUGUAGUCGAGGAUUAAAUGAUAUUGGCACCGGCCCAGGGCGAGUUUAAUCAGUGAGGGAACCAUGAUGAACUGUAACCUCACAAGGUGCGCUGGUUCCUACUUAUAGUCCACGACGGGAGACAGAUGUCCAUUAACUUCCGACAAACGAUAAAUUUGCAAAGAAUAAAUUUUAUAAAAAUGGGCUAAUUACUCGAGAAACGAGAUCGGAAGAGGCAUUCCCGGGCAGUUAGCGAUACUUCCUAGGUCAUUUAAUGACGUCAGAGGUCUCAUUUAUAUAUAUAGAUAUAUAUAAG
rnacentral:lncRNA from 1 species